GAUGAACGCUGGCGGCGUGCCUAAUACAUGCCAGUCGAGCGAACGGACGAGAAGCUUGCUUCUCUGAUGUUAGCGGCGGACGGGUGAGUAACACGUGGAUAACCUACCUAUAAGACUGGGAUAACUUCGGGAAACCGUAGCUAAUACCGGAUAAUAUUUUGAACCGCAUGGUUCAAAAGUGAAAGACGGUCUUGCUGUCACUUAUAGAUGGAUCCGCGCUGCAUUAGCUAGUUGGUAAGGUAACGGCUUACCAAGGCAACGAUGCAUAGCCGACCUGAGAGGGUGAUCGGCCACACUGGAACUGAGACACGGUACAGACUCCUACGGGAGGCAGCAGUAGGGAAUCUUCCGCAAUGGGCGAAAGCCUGACGGAGCAACGCCGCGUGAGUGAUGAAGGUCUUCGGAUCGUAAAACUCUGUUAUUAGGGAAGAACAUAUGUGUAAGUAACUGUGCACAUCUUGACGGUACCUAAUCAGAAAGCCACGGCUAACUACGUG
rnacentral:rRNA from 1 species